rnacentral:misc_RNA from 1 species
GGAAGUAAAAGUCGUAACAAGAUUUCCGUAGGUGAACCUACGGAAGGAUCAUUACUGAGUGAGGGCCCCUCGGGGUCCAACCUCCCACCCGUGUUUAACGAACCUUGUUGCUUCGGCGGGCCCGCCUCACGGCCGCCGGGGGGCAUCUGCCCCCGGGCCCGCGCCCGCCGAAGCCACCUGUGAACGCUGUCUGAAGUAUGCAGUCUGAGACAAUUAUUAAAUUAAUUAAAACUUUCAACAACGGAUCUCUUGGUUCCG